rnacentral:rRNA from 1 species
CGGCGACAAGCCGGAGGAAGGCGGGGACGACGUCAAGUCAUCAUGGCCCUUAUGCCUUGGGCUACACACAUGCUACAAUGGCGGAUACAAUGGGUUGCCAAACUGUGAAGUGGGGCCAAUCCCAUCAAAGUCCGUCUCAGUUCGAAUUGCAGGCUGCAACUCGCCUGCAUGAAGUUGGAAUCGCUAGUAAUCGUGGAUCAGCACUGCCACGGUGAAUACGUUCCCGGGCCUUGCACACACCGCCCGUCACACCACGAAAGUCGGUUCUACCCGAAGUGGUUGAGCUAACCCGCAAGGGGGGCAGACUCCUAAGGUAGGGCUGGUGAUUGGGGUGAAGUCGUAACAUGGUAGCCGUAA